GUCCACGCCUUAAACGAUGGGUACUAGGUGCUGGGCCGCAAGGCUCAGUGCCAAAGCUAACGCAUUAAGUACCCCACCUGGGGAGUACGAUCGCAAGGUUGAAACUCAAAGGAAUUGACGGGGGCCCGCACAAGCAGUGGAGCAUGUGGUUCAAUUCGAUGCAACGCGAAGAACCUUACCCGGAUUUGAAAGGCCAGCGACAACCGAUGAAAGUCUGUCUUGUAGCAAUACACGCUGGUACAGGUGCUGCAUGGCUGUCGU
rnacentral:rRNA from 1 species